rnacentral:misc_RNA from 1 species
ACAGUCAGUAGUAAACAAAUCUUUGAUAGAGAUUGUUUAUUAGAUUCUACUCUCAAAACAAUUAUUAAAAAUAUCUAUUAAAAAGUUGUUAGUGAAAAGUUUUUAGAAUUUGUUCAAACGUAAUCAAUAUUUUUACUAAGUGAAAAUAAUAAAAAUGAAGUAUCAUACUUUACAAUGUGACUGUGAGGUGGAACGAAUGAGCCCUGACCGUCAAAUAACCGCCCAGGAUAUUGAUUGUCUUAAGGAGGCGUUUGCUCUGUUUGACUGCGACAGGGACGGGGAGAUCACAGUCCAGGAGUUGGGCAAGGUGAUGAAGACCCAUGGUUUCCAUCCUACGGAGGAGGAACUCCAGGAUAUGAUCAGGAACGUCGACACCAAUGCUAACGGUGCCAUCGACUUCAAUGAGUUCAUUGAGAUGAUGGUGAAGCGGGACUCAAGGAUUGAAGAUGAUGUGGUGCAUGCGUUUAAGGUGUUUGACAGAGAUGGAGACGGCCUAAUAUCAGAGGAGGAGUUGAGGUUGACCAUGAACAACCUCGGCGAGCCUCUGACCGAGGCCGAGGUCAAAUCAAUGAUUGCUGAAGCUGAUCUUGAUGGAGAUGGGAAAAUUAAUUUCCAGGAAUUUUCUCGUCUUAUGGCCAACAGCUCUGGAGCCUGUGGUUCAAACCAGUCUAAGGGAGUAUGACGGAUAGACUCCUAGUGCCCUGACCCACUGCUGACCGCGGGCAUUGUAAACUCAGGAUUUGAUUACUGGUCAGCAGACCACUGAAGUUUGAAUGCAGAAGUGGAAAACCAAAUUUUUAACUUAAAAAUGAAUUUCAUUAGUGCCAGAUACAUUUAAAAGUUUUACAAUUAGAAACUUGAGUUAUAAUUGAAAUAGUUGUAUAAUUACAUGCUUGCUAAUUUAAACAGUCAUGGUGAUCUUUACAUUUUAUCUAUAUGUGUAGUUUACUAGUUAUACAAGAACGACCGGUUGAGUUUAAGCACUAGUUACAUAUUUUCAAAGAAAAGUUUGUUGUAACUUUGAAAUAGUCUUUUAAUAAGGUUUGCACUCUUUCAACAUUAUGCAACUUUACAAUAUAAUAGUUCAGUCUUAAUGUGUUUUAAUGUUAGAAUAUUUUCUAUAAAUGUAUUUUAAAAUAUUGUUUAUUACUAUUGUAGGUCAUU